GAGAAUCGCUUGAACCCAGGAGGCAGCGGUUGUGGAGAGCUAAGAUCGUGCCAUUGCACUCCAGCCUGGGCAACAAAAGCAAAACUCCAUCUCAAAAAAAAAAAAAAGAAAAACUAAUAUUUACUGAGAACUUACCAUAUGCAUAGCACUGUGCAAAGAAACUUAUGCAUAUCAUCUGCAUAUCUAUUCCUACACACAUCGUUUAUAUCUAUGACCCUUUAAGGCAGGGAAAAUUAUGACUCCCAUUUUACAGAUAAGGAAGCUUAACUUAAGAAAGACUAAGUAAUGCACAGAAGGUCACCCAGCUGUGCUCUUUCCCACUAUCUGAUCCGACUUUUCUGCAGACAAAAAAAGACUUGGAGGGAAGCCCACGGAGAGUGGUGGUUUAUUCUGGCAGGAUUAGGAAGGACCUUAAUUCUCCUUUUUGUGGGUCUUAUUCCAAAUUGUGUACAGGACUCUAGCUACUCUCGUGUGUGUGUGUGUGUGUGUGUGUGUAUGUGUGUUUUCUGAUUACCAAAGUCAUGUUGCUUAUUAAAAACUCAUUAUUUUUCAGAUUAAAA
rnacentral:lncRNA from 1 species